AGAUUGAACGCUGGCGGCAUGCCUAACACAUGCAAGUCGAACGGGAGUAGCAAUACUCUAGUGGCGGACGGGUGAGGAAUACGUAGGAAUUUGCCCUUAAGUGGGGGAUAACCCGGGGAAACCCGGAUUAAUACCGCAUGACCUCGAAAGAGCAAAGUGGGGGAUCGCAAGACCUCACGCUUUUGGAGAAGCCUACGUCGGAUUAGCUAGUCGGUGAGGUAAUGGCUCACCAAGGCGACGAUCCGUAACUGGUCUUGAGAGGA
rnacentral:rRNA from 1 species